CCAUACAUAGAUGGGAUACCCAUGUAUGUGUGCCUAGUAGAGCUAUAUAUCUGAACAUUUUACGAUUUGUGAGCGCCUAUAUAGCUUAGUGGUAGAGCGUUCCCUUCGUAAGGGAAAGGUCUUGAGUUCAAUCCUCAAUGUGGGCAUUUUAUGUGUUGCUGGGAUGUUUGUAUGGCUGCAAUCGCAGUCUUCUACUGAAGCACAUGUACAUGUCUUUACGAUUUCAUAGGACAUCAAGGGAAAAGGUCCUGCGUAAAGUCCUGCACACAGCAGGAAAACAAGGGAGGAUCGUCCGCCUUCAGUCUGUAUCACUGCCAAUGGAAAGCAUCUAUAAAACGUAACUAGCACUAUUCCGUUCUGACAUGAAUGAGCUUUAUUGGUUGAUACAGACAUAUAGCAGUUUCGUCGUUAAUGUUUGCGAGCUCCUGUACAUGGCUCCGAUAGCCUGCUGGAUGCCUAUGCAUGCACAUGCAUGCAUGCAUGCAUGCAUGCAUAGGCAUGAAGAAAUGUAGACCAGCAGGCGAUUCAUAUGCAUAUGUCGAGUAAUAAGUACGAAGGUGGGCAUCACAUCCUAAAGCACCUGCCUGUACAUGGGGAUGUACAUGUGCCACAUGGGUAGGUUCAAGGCCUAGGUGGGCGUCUCAUUUAAUCGGCUGUGUAAUUGGUUGGCUAGAGUUAUGUAGGAUUUCUGGAUGGGGUAGCUAUAGCUAUGCAUGCUAGCCGACGAUGUUAUUGUGUAGUACGCUACAUUUCCCUCCAAAUAUUUUAACGAUUAUUAAUAACAACACCUGUUAAUUCCGUUGACGAUUCGACUCAAGUUCCGUACAUGUACAUGUCACACAAUAUCAUGACACGGACAUAUCGGAUGUUCGUAGCGACACCUAACAGGCUGGGGCCCCGGGCCCCAUCGACAGUAUCCUAGUACAGUACGACAGGACCGUAGUAGAGAUUCGUCCGGCAGGUAGGCCAAGAUAUAAGCUACCCGGGCGGGGUGCUCUGGCCAGGCACUUCAGUAUCACGACUACUUGGUGUUCGGAGUCCAAGAUUCUGCUGCCACCGUCUUAGUUGCUUCGAUCUUGUCUAUGUAAGCUAGUGCCUGUCGCUGGGUUGGACUCCUUCCCGCCUCAGCAAGGCCCCUAAGCUCCACGCUUCCGCAAGGUCAGUCGUGCCACCAGGCGAGCAUCUGCCACGUGCUGCAAUCUACUAGAUCUGUAAGGAUACAGAUAGAUGCUGCUAUAUGCCCUGCCUAUGAGUUGGUAGCUGGAUGGGCCAAGUGCGGCAGGGUAGGAUUUUAAUGUAGAUAGAGCAGUAACCUCCGAUGUUUGCACAACAUGGAUGUGGGGGGUUUAUUCGCAUCACAAAUCAUUCAUGCGCACAAAACCUCUGUAUACAUGCAUAGCGUUCCUUACAUUCUUCUGCCCUAGUUUCAGGGGCCGGUGACGCCAGGGUGACAAGAUAUGAGUCUCAUGCGUGCGUUUUCAUGUGUGUGUAUGUACGGCUUGCGUUGUUGUGGUACGUUUGUGUCGUACAACGAUGGCAUGUUUGGGAGUUUGGUCUAGUGGUAUGAUUCUCGCUUAGGGUGCGAGAGGUCGUGGGUUCAAUUCCCGCAACUCCCCGGCACACGCGCACGACAGCUUCCUCCUCAGCAACGAAACGAAGGGUCUCUAGCUCAGUGGUAGAGCAGCUGACUGCAGAUCAGCAGGUCUCCGGUUCGAUCCCGGAGGGGCCCUGGUACUGACCCUCCUUGACUNCAGAGUGUCUGUCAGAAGCGUGCAGAAAUCCUCUUGCAGCGAAGCAGAAGUAGGUUUUUCACCCCAACCUGAUGUAUCCUGCGCAGACCGCAGGGGCGGUUUCUAUCACCCCUAUCGAUAGCCUGUAUGUGGUAUGGGCACUGCACUGUGCAACCAUGUCAUGAGGACCUUACCAACAUCAGCAUGCUUGUACACACUUUGCAUAUGCAUUCCUACCCGCAUGCACAUAGCAUGCAUGCUGUGUAUGGGUGGGUACAUCUAAUAAAUAUAAUAAGUAGGUUGAGCAGUUACAUAGGUGAGGCUGGUCAAUGGUGAUCACCUACCAUUCAUGGAAGUCAUUCAUGCAUUCUCAGACCAGAUCCAUUGUUAUUUUAUCCUUGGUGCAUCCACUUGUUAUCAUAGGGUGUGGUGACGCACGGCUACCUGCCUUCAGGCUCCUUUCCACAGCUUUAGUCAACUUUCAAGUCAAAACGGAUCAGAUAUGUCAGUACGGCCGGUCUUUCAGUGCAUGAUGAUCGACAUGGAAGACAUUUCGCUCGUAUGGGUCUUGAUUGUCAAAUCGAUUCUAUGUUGGAUAUGGCGGAUGUUAAAUGGUAUUGGUUCUUGUCUCAUCACAUAUAAUUGAGCCAAUAACCAUUAUCAUGCGUUAUGGACAAACCAAGGGACCGACCGACUGACUGACUCAGGGCAAAAAGAGGCCAGAUGCGGGACUUAGCGAUGGGUUGCACUGAAACACAAUGUGUGAGUAGGUGUUGUGUAUCUAAAAUGUACGCACCUACCCAUACAUAGAUGGGAUACCCAUGUAUGUGUGCCUAGUAGAGCUAUAUAUCUGAACAUUUUAUGAUUUGUGAGCGCCUAUAUAGCUUAGUGGUAGAGCGUUCCCUUCGUAAGGGAAAGGACUUGAGUUCAAUCCUCAAUGUGGGCAUUUUAUGUGUUGCUGGGAUGUUUGUAUGGCUGCAAUCGCAGUCUUCUACUGAAGCACAUGUACAUGUCUUUACGAUUUCAUAGGACAUCAAGGGAAAAGGUCCUGCGUAAAGUCCUGCACACAGCAGGAAAACAAGGGAGGAUCGUCCGCCUUCAGUCUGUAUCACUGCCAAUGGAAAGCAUCUAUAAAACGUAACUAGUACUAUUCCGUUCUGACAUGAAUGAGCUUUAUUGGUUGAUACAGACAUAUAGCAGUUUCGUCGUUAAUGUUUGCGAGCUCCUGUACAUGGCUCCGAUAGCCUGCUGGAUGCCUAUGCAUGCACAUGCAUGCAUGCAUGCAUGCAUGCAUAGGCAUGAAGAAAUGUAGACCAGCAGGCGAUUCAUAUGCAUAUGUCGAGUAAUAAGUACGAAGGUGGGCAUCACAUCCUAAAGCACCUGCCUGUACAUGGGGAUGUACAUGUGCCACAUGGGUAGGUUCAAGGCCUAGGUGGGCGUCUCAUUUAAUCGGCUGUGUAAUUGGUUGGCUAGAGUUAUGUAGGAUUUCUGGAUGGGGUAGCUAUAGCUAUGCAUGCUAGCCGACGAUGUUAUUGUGUAGUACGCUACAUUUCCCUCCAAAUAUU
rnacentral:lncRNA from 1 species